AUGAAUUUGGUGCUUGCACCAAAUGAAACUAGAUACAAGCGAGCGGCGGACGGGUGAGUAACACGUGGGUAACCUGCCCAAGAGACUGGGAUAACACCUGGAAACAGAUGCUAAUACCGGAUAACAACACUAGACGCAUGUCUAGAGUUUAAAAGAUGGUUCUGCUAUCACUCUUGGAUGGACCUGCGGUGCAUUAGCUAGUUGGUAAGGUAACGGCUUACCAAGGCAAUGAUGCAUAGCCGAGUUGAGAGACUGAUCGGCCACAUUGGGACUGAGACACGGCCCAAACUCCUACGGGAGGCAGCAGUAGGGAAUCUUCCACAAUGGACGCAAGUCUGAUGGAGCAACGCCGCGUGAGUGAAGAAGGGUUUCGGCUCGUAAAGCUCUGUUGGUAGUGAAGAAAGAUAGAGGUAGUAACUGGCCUUUAUUUGACGGUAAUUACUUAGAAAGUCACGGCUAACUACGUGCCAGCAGCCGCGGUAAUACGUAGGUGGCAAGCGUUGUCCGGAUUUAUUGGGCGUAAAGCGAGUGCAGGCGGUUCAAUAAGUCUGAUGUGAAAGCCUUCGGCUCAACCGGAGAAUUGCAUCAGAAACUGUUGAACUUGAGUGCAGAAGAGGAGAGUGGAACUCCAUGUGUAGCGGUGGAAUGCGUAGAUAUAUGGAAGAACACCAGUGGC
rnacentral:rRNA from 1 species